CAGCAGAAGUUCCCACUUUGAGGCCUGAAGAAUUCAAUGACGCAGUGUUACAGGACUAGUAAGAGCUUUAGGUGUAGAAAAGGACCAAUGCUAAUAAUUUGAGGCUUUGAAAGAGGAACCUCCACCAACCUAAGAACUUGAAGGGAGAAAACUUAAGGAAAAAUUAUCUUAACAUCUCUUCUUUCAUCCUCUGAUCUCCAGCUGAUGACUCCCAAACGGCUGAAACAAAGUAGAGUUUCGAGAGCUGGUUUACAUGCAGUGUGAACACGCUGAGCCAGCACCUCGACAAGAUCACAGCAGAGCAGAGGGGUCAUGAAUAUAAAGAAGAGAUUGCAACUUCUUCUCCAAAACAUUGUACUUGGCCGUUGUCAGUUUAUGAAGUACCUGAAGUGGAAAAAAAGCGUUUCAUAGCUUGAACAUUUCCUUGGAAAAGCAAAGCAGAAAACAGACACAACAUCAAUAUGUACUGUCAAAGCUCUCAUCUCAAGAAGCAAAAUACAAUAAAAGAUUUCCCCAAA